rnacentral:misc_RNA from 1 species
UCCGUGUUAACCACGGCAGUCUCUUUAGAGUGCCCAACUGAAUGCUGGCAACUAAAGACAAGGGUUGCGCUCGUUGCGGGACUUAACCCAACAUGUCACCACACGAGCUGACGACAGCCAUGCAGCACCUGUCUCUCUGUCGUAUUGCUACGAAGGCCGUAUCUCUACGGAUGUCAGAGGAUGUCAAACCCAGGUAAGGUUCUUCGCGUUGCUUCGAAUUAAACCACAUGAUCCACCGCUUGUGCGGGCCCCCGUCAAUUCCUUUGAGUUUUAGUCUUGCGACCGUACUUCCCAGGCGCGGUACUUAUCGCGUUAGCUCCGGCUCUGCAGGGGUCAAGACCCGCAAAGCCUAGUACCGAUCGUUUACGGCGUGGACUAC